rnacentral:rRNA from 1 species
UACGUAGGGGGCGAGCGUUGUCCGAAUUUACUGGGCGUAAAGAGCGCGUAGGCGGAUUGUUAAGUGAGAGGUGAAAGGUUCAGGGCUCAACCCGAACAGUGCCUUUCAUACUGGCGAUCUUGAGUAUGGGAGAGGCGAGUGGAAGUUUCUGGUGUAGCGGUGAAAUGCGUAGAUAUCAGAAGGAACACCCAUGGCGAAAGGCAGCUCGCUGGGCCUAUAACUGACGCUGAGGCGCGAAAGCGUGGGGAGCAAACAGG